UACGUAGGGCGCAAGCGUUGUCCGGAAUUAUUGGGCGUAAAGAGCUCGUAGGCGGUCUGUUACGUCUGCUGUGAAAACCCAGGGCUUAACCCUGGGCUUGCAGUGGAUACGGGCAGACUAGAGGCAGGUAGGGGAGAAUGGAAUUCCCGGUGUAGCGGUGAAAUGCGCAGAUAUCAGGAGGAACACCGGUGGCGAAGGCGGGUCUCUGGGCCGAUACUGACGCUGAGGCACGAAAGCGUGGGGAGCAAACAGG
rnacentral:rRNA from 1 species